rnacentral:rRNA from 1 species
ACUCCUACGGGAGGCAGCAGUGGGGAAUAUUGCACAAUGGGCGCAAGCCUGAUGCAGCCAUGCCGCGUGUAUGAAGAAGGCCUUCGGGUUGUAAGUACUUUCAGCAGUGAGGAAGGUGGGUAUGUUAAUAGCAUAUUCAUUUUGACGUUUAGCUGCAGAAGAAGCACCGGCUAACUCCGUGCCAGCAGCCGCGGUAAUACGGAGGGUGCGAGCGUUAAUCGGAAUUACUGGGCGUAAAGCGCAUGCAGGUGGUUUGUUAAGUCAGAUGUGAAAGCCCGGGGCUCAACCUCGGAAUUGCAUUUGAAACUGGCAAACUAGAGUACUGUAGAGGGGGUAGAAUUUCAGGUGUAG